rnacentral:rRNA from 1 species
ACGAACGCUGGCGGCGUGCUUAACACAUGCAAGUCGCACGGAAAGGCCCUGCUUUUGUGGGGUGCUCGAGUGGCGAACGGGUGAGUAACACGUGAGUAACCUGCCCUUGACUUUGGGAUAACUUCAGGAAACUGGGGCUAAUACCGGAUAGGAGCUCCUGCUGCAUGGUGGGGGUUGGAAAGUUUCGGCGGUUGGGGAUGGACUCGCGGCUUAUCAGCUUGUUGGUGGGGUAGUGGCUUACCAAGGCUUUGACGGGUAGCCGGCCUGAGGGGGUGACCGGCCACAUUGGGACUGAGAUACGGCCCAGACUCCUACGGGAGGCAGCAGUGGGGAAUAUUGCACAAUGGGCGGAAGCCUGAUGCAGCAACGCCGCGUGCGGGAUGACGGCCUUCGGGUUGUAAACCGCUUUCGCCUGUGACGAAGCGUGAGUGACGGUAAUGGGUAAAGAAGCACCGGCUAACUACGUG